AACUAUUAAUAAUUACCAACAAUCAAUCAUUUUAAAAUGUCAUUUUGAAGGAGAUGUGGUAAGGAAAACCAAAGGUUGACAUGUUCCUUUCUGAAUAAUGAAAAAAAUAUUAUCAUUGUGUUGCAAAUGGCAGAUGAUAUAUGUUAAACAUUUAAUUGACAUAAUAACGACUCUCUAAACAGAAAACAGAAAAAACUACUGUCUUCUAAAAGAGACACUCCUACCAGAACAGGUAUGAUCCAUGUGUUGUAUGUAUUCAUUUAUUUAUACUGUAUUAUUUACUACCAUGACUUAAUUAUUCUAAGCAUCGUACAUUUGUGUGUUGAAGGAGGUGAAGGCCAGGACAAUGCUGCAUACUCACAAAGUCAGGAAGUGAACUAUGCAGAAAAUUGUUUCCAGAACAAAGAUGAAGGGAAUGUCCAACUGGGAUUAGAGAAUAACUCCACACAAUAUGCUGUGAUUCAAGCUAACAGGGCUAAUGCAGCACCCACUCCUCCCAGCUAUGACGUCCACAUGCAACGAAUGCAAGGCAGAACAAAUGGUGCACAAACCUAAGCUCAGGUCUACAACAACUGAUCAUCUUACAUAUGAUGGAUCAGAUGGUCAAACCAGAGGCCAGAUGCAGUUAAUGUGUUGUCAGUGUCAGUCCUUUAUAGGUGACUAAUGUGGGCACGACUGUAUCUAGUCAAAGCACUUUAACUGUAGUUAAUCAUCAACCAGAUCAUAUUGUUUUUAAGGAGACACAGUGUUGUCCUCUUUUCCUAAAUAGACUACUUGUAGCUUUUUUAUUUGUUAGUUCAGUAUUUUAUUUGUACAUUCAACGCAUCAAUACCUUAAUCUUAAUGUAAAUGCUUUUUAAUUCUUGAGCAUAAUGGUGACAAUGAUCUGCUGUAAUAUUUCACUCCACAUGCUAUAUCCUGUGUGAUUUCAGUUGAGAUUCAAGUCAGCAGCUUUUGGCUUAUUUUCUGUUUAUUUAUUUAACAGUACAAAUGUGUAAAACAAAAAUCGAGAGAUUUGAUUGUCUAUUACUGCAAAAUUUGACUUUUUUUUGUCUAUAGCCAAACCUCUAACAUGCAAAAAACCAAAGAAAUUGUUCAUAGCCAAAGAAUCUCCAUGAGAUAUCCAGUGGUUAUUUCUCAGAUAACUACAGAUGUAAUACAUUUCUUAAGUCUUGUUGUUUGUUCAGCAAAGAUGCAAAAACAGCAGUCGAAUUCAGGGCAGGUUUACUGUGAAUAUCAGGGCCCACACCUAAAAGGGAAGAACUAGUUCAAAUGAGUAAAAUAGCAAAAAGAGAUCAUUUACAUGUCAAGUGACACACUGUAUAACUUCCAUUUAACUUAGAUGCAGUAUUUUUGCAAGGAGCUUUUGAAAAAUACUUUAACACGUUAAAGAUCAUUGACAACCACCAACCAAAAGUUGUAAUCGUUGGUAUUGUUUUAAACUUAACAAAAAAGUCAGUAAUGCAGUAAUGAGAAAUGCCAGAAGUGCAAUUUAUUAUAUCCAAGCAGGUAUAGCAUGUCAAGGUCAGAUUUUGUGUAUUGAAUCAGGCUUUAUACACAUGUCCCUGUUUAGUUAUUGUUCACCCUCUCUACACAACGAUGAUCUUCUUUAAACCAGAUGAGAAAAAGGCAGUCUCCCACAGUGUUUGCUCAGAUUUCCCUCCCCCUGGAUUAGUUACACAUUAAUGAAGAUCAAAGUUCAUGUGCGAUUUUCACACUGAAUGUGAUGUCGCCUGCAGAUUUUAGAACAUUAACUUAAAUACUUUUAAACAUUAUUUGUUUUCUGAGAAUUUGCCUAUUCGUUUUUGUUCAGCACAAACCACACCAAAAUGAAAGUCUGGUGGAUGUAAAUGAAUAAAACUGAAAGUAACUCUCAGGCAGUAGAUAUUGUAUUUGUAAUGAUAAUUUAAAUGAAUAAACUAUUUUGCAGUUACU
rnacentral:lncRNA from 1 species